rnacentral:misc_RNA from 1 species
UACUUCCCUUGUUCCAUGAAAGUUCUGGGUAAGUCAUCUCCCCUGUUACAAUCAGUAAGACUUGUGCUUAGUCCGGAAAGCAUGGCAACUGUGGCCGAACGUCGAAUUGGAGCCGUCAUCGGUUCUCUUGUUGCUGAUGCUGCUGUGCAACCAAUUCAUUGGAACUACAACAAAGAGAAGUUGACUGCUUUACUGAGUACAAGAAGUGAUUGGGAGUUCUGGGAACCAUCACAGAAUCCAUUCUAUGUGCAAAAGACUGGCAAGCAAACCUGUUAUGGAGACCAAAAUUUUGUUGUUUUGAAGUCCCUUGUGGAAAAUUCAGGAAUCAAUUCAGAUCAUUUGAAGAAAUCUCUCUAUGAAUAUUUUGGUGCCGGUACUACUUAUGACAACCCAAUUUGGUCAGGUGGUCCGAAAACCAUACCAAUUACUGGCUGCUGGAGGAAUGGUUCCAUUCGAGAUUUCCUUAAGAAUUACGAAGAGAAGAAGCAAGAAACAGGUUCUGAAUCUGAUGAACAAGUAGACUGCGUUCUAAGAAUUAUUCCUGUCGCUGCUCUCUAUGCCGGCCAUCCUCAACUUCUUGACAAAGUCGAAGAAGUCGUAAGACUCACCCAAAACAAUGAUGUUGCUGUGGCUUUUGGAUUGUUGGCAGCUCGAUUGUUGGAGAUUUAUAUCCUGAAUGGUCCAACAGCUGAUGCCAUUGGACAAUUAAGGGCUAAACUGACUGACCCAAAAAGGAGCUCUCCAAGUGACCUUGACACUGCCUUAGUGUCUCAUCUCCAGAAAGUGUUGCAAGUCAAAGACAAACCUCAUGUUGAUGUGGCUUGUAAUGUCUUCAAGAACAACUGACAUUUGCCUUAUGCUUUCCAAGCCGCCAUACAUGGGUUGCUGUGUAGCCAUGACUUUGUGAGUGGCGUGAAGACCACAAUGGAAGCCGGUGGUUGUAAUGCCUCAAGAGCAGGGAUCAUCGGUGCUUGCAUGGCAGCACAGUAUGGCGUGGAAAGCAUUCCUGAGAGCUGGAGGCAGAAAACCCUUCUUAUUGAAGAGAUCAAGAGCCUUGCAGCAAAACUGGUUGCUGUUGAAAUCUAAGUAUAUAUAGACACAUCUCUUUGAUGAACUAAACAGCCAGUAUUAUUGAUCGGACACAUCCAACACCAUUCCUAUUACUCUCUGAAUCAUGACAGCCUUGUGGAAACCUUGGAUAGCAAGACUUGAAGCCUUUUGCAGAUGGAACAAUAGGAAUGUUGUUUGAUAGACACCAAUGCUACUGGUACAUUAAAACAACAACAUCAAAGGAAAUAGGUGUAUAUGGUUUCAAUUUUGAUAUUUCAUUAUUAUUAUUAUUAUUAUUUCCAACAUUCUUUUCAAAGAACCUGUGAGAAUCUUGAUGAAACCUGAAUAAAAAGGAAAACAAGAUUUGAUUUCUUUCCUUUUGCAAACUAUGUUGGAAAUGACAAAAUUGAUUCCUAUAUAGCUGGUGUGCUAAAAAUUAUUAUAAUAAUGAUAUUACUUGGUUUUUUAUUGAAAUAUCAGGUUCAUCUCUCCAUUUCGCCUUCUUUUGUUACCCCUCAAUUUCUUUUAGGACUGUAAUUUCCAAAGAUUAGAAUACUAUUUUUUUUUUCUCACAUAUUCAGUUUGAAAUUUCAAAUUUAGAAAACUGCCAUGUUUCCAUAAAUUAAAAUCAAGAGGGGAAAAUUUGAAUCGCAAAUUCUUUUUGAAUGUGUAAUUGAAAUCUGAACUUGUAUUUGGAUUUUUUUUUAAAAUACCAAAAAAUCAAAUUUGGCCAUCAAAAUCCUAUUUUGGAAUUUUAGAGGAUUAUCCAAUUUUGGUUUUUAAAAUGGUUUUUUCAUUUUAUUUAACUUGAAAUUUUAAGCUGUAAUCUAAGAAACUAAAAAUUAAAUCUGAAGUUAUUAAAAAAAAAUUAACUUUUUUUUUUUAAAUUUCAGUUUUAAAAAUUCAACCAAUUUUGAUCUAUUAAAUUAAAAACCAGAACCCCUAAUUUCAUAGUUAAUUAUUAGCUCAAGAGGUAUCUUGCUGUUCAGUACUAUAAUUAUUCUGACAUACUUCAAAGAAUUUAACCAAUUAUGUUAUAACUAAUUACUAUUUUCAUAUAUAAUAUUAUGUCAAUGAUAUUUACAUAUAUGCUCAGGUUGACUUUCUGCCUAAACUCCAACUUGAACUGCUGCUUAAAAUGCUAUAGCUGCCUAAAUGAGGAUUGGCUUAUUUCAAUCGAGCUGGUAUGUGUAUGAUAGAAUAAAGUAUAGAUAUGCAAACAACUGGUAUCAUGCUGGAUUAAGACAUUUAUUAUUUUAAUGCAACUUGGAUGGAGAUAUACAUCAUUAUAUGUCUAACCAGAAGUAAAAAAUACUCAAUACAUGUUGUAGAGUUUAUACAUUCUUUCAUCCGAAGCUAAUUAUAAGUUUUAUAAUAACAAAGAAUAAUUUUUCAAAAUAUAGAAAGAGAAAAUUAAUCAUGAAAUGUAAUAUUUCUGAAUAAAAAAGUGAUAUUACUACAAU